GUCGCGUGCAGCAUCGCUUACCUCUGCGCUUCCACAGCAUCCCAUUGCCGGAGUGAGGUUAGGACCGCAGAAAAAAAAAAAGAAAACUAAACGCUACACUGCAGGAAAACAAUAAACCCCACUUUCAGGGAGUUGACGGUAAAAGGGAUUACUACUUUAGGAUUUAUCGCCCAGCACUUCCUGGUGGGAUGAGCAGGUGUAGCCGGAAAAGAACGGCAGCCGUCCAUUCACAGCACGAGCUGGAUGAGGCGGAACGCGCGCUGAAUGAUGGGAUGCUGGAGGAACCCGGGAAGUUUAAACCGCUGCAGUUGAAUUCUGGAAUAUGGGUCCAGAAUAAAUCCAGUUUAAAAGAUAGGGCUUGGUAAAACAAGUGUUUUAAUUGUACUUAUAUGUAUUUAAUGUCUUGUCAACAACCACAUUAUAAACAAAAUCGCUUCACUGCUUGUUUUUAAGAAAUAAUAAAAGAUUUUGCAAAACUA